rnacentral:rRNA from 1 species
UAGCCGUAAACGAUACUCGCUAGGUGUCGGCCACGGUGCGACCGUUGUCGGUGCCGUAGGGAAGCCGUGAAGCGAGCCACCUGGGGAGUACGGCCGCAAGGCUGAAACUUAAAGGAAUUGGCGGGGGAGCACCACAACAGGUGGAGCUUGCGGUUUAAUUGGAUUCAACGCCGGAAAUCUUACCGGGACCGACAGCAACAUGAAGGCCAGGCUGAAGACUUUGCCGGAUUAGCUGAGAGGAGGUGCAUGGCGUAG